AUUUGUUUGCGGGGGGACCGUUUCGGUUGAGAAGGUUAAAACCUGACCCUUUGAACCUGUUAGUUAAGACUGGCGUAGGGAAGCAAACGCAGCGUUUAU
rnacentral:ncRNA from 2 species